rnacentral:rRNA from 1 species
AUUGAACGCUGGCGGCAGGCCUAACACAUGCAAGUCGAACGAGUGGCGGACGUGUGAGUAAUGUCUGGGAACGUGCCUGGUGGAGGGGGUUCACUACUGGAAACUGUAGCUAAUACCGCAUACUAUAGGAUAUGCCGAUAUGGGAUUAGCUAGUUGGUGGGGUAAAGGCUCACCAAGGCGACGAUCCGUAGCUGGUAUGAGAGGAUGACCAGCCACACUGGAACUGAGACACGGUCCAGACUCCUACGGGAGGCAGCAGUGGGGAAUAUUGGACAAUGGGGGAAAGCCUGAUGCAGCCAUGCCGCGUGUAUGAAGAAGGCCUUCGGGUUGUAAAGUACUUUCAGCGGGGAGGCGUUACCCGCAGAAGAAGCACCGGCUAACUCCGUGCCAGCAGCCGCGGUAAUUC